UACGUAGGUGGCAAGCGUUGUCCGGAUUUAUUGGGUUUAAAGGGUGCGUAGGCGGUCUAUUAAGUCAGUGGUGAAAUACUCCAGCUUAACUGGAGGGGUGCCAUUGAUACUGAUGGACUUGAGUCAAGUCGAGGUAGGCGGAAUUGACGGUGUAGCGGUGAAAUGCGUAGAUAUCUGGAGGAACACCGGUGGCGAAGGCGGCAUCCUGGACCGAGAUUGACGCUGAGGCGCGAAAGCUAGGGUAGCAAACAGG
rnacentral:rRNA from 1 species